GUUUUUUUUUGUCGUUGUCGUUGUCAUUAUGAAUCUUUAUCACCGGGGGGUGUCAGCUCGGUCCACUUGAUCAUACUCGCGUGCCAAUUUUAUUUGCGAAUCAACAAUUUAAACGGCCACUUCUUUAUACGAAUGUUAUGAAUUGGGUAGUAGCUCGGUCCACUUCGUUCUGCACAUGUCAGUAUCCAAGCGUUUACUGGUUGGAUGUUGAUUUUAUUAUGUAAAUUGGUGAUUAGUCUCGUGAAUUUGAAUCAAAUGGUGCUGAGUGUGUUAUUAAUUAUAAUAUAUGCGCGGUGAUAUUAUUGAAUUGUUCGGUUUUUAUUAUUUUGGUGAUGUAUUUUGAACAAUUUUUUUUAAUUAUAUUCAGUUCAUUAAACGGUAUGUGAUGCGUUGACUUUA